rnacentral:rRNA from 1 species
UGGGAAUAUUGGACAAUGGGCGCAAGCCUGAUCCAGCCAUACCGCGUGGGUGAAGAAGGCCUUCGGGUUGUAAAGCCCUUUUGUUGGGAAAGAAAUCCAGCCGGUAAUACCUGGUUGGGAUGACAGUACCCAAAGAAUAAGCACCGGCUAACUUCGUGCCAGCAGCCGCGGUAAUACGAAGGGUGCAAGCGUUACUCGGAAUUACUGGGCGUAAAGCGUGCGUAGGUGGUCGUUUAAGUCCGUUGUGAAAGCCCUGGGCUCAACCUGGGAACUGCAGUGGAUACUGGACGACUAGAGUGUGGUAGAGGGUAGCGGAAUUCCUGGUGUAGCAGUGAAAUGCGUAGAGAUCAGGAGGAACAUCCAUGGCGAAGGCAGCUACCUGGACCAACACUGACACUGAGGCACGAAAGCGUGGGGAGCAAACAGGAUUAGAUACCCUGGUAGUCCACGCCCUAAACGAUGCGAACUGGAUGUUGGGUGCAAUUUGGCACGCAGUAUCGAAGCUAACGCGUUAAGUUCGCCGCCUGGGGAGUACGGUCGCAAGACUGAAACUCAAAGGAAUUGACGGGGGCCCGCACAAGCGGUGGAGUAUGUGGUUUAAUUCGAUGC